rnacentral:sRNA from 1 species
AUAUCUCUCUGUACGGGAAGGAUGAGAAGCUUCGACUAAGGUUCGAUUCGAGCGCAGCGAGAACGCGUUGCCGCAGGCAACGAC